CCGGCCAUAUCACAUUGAAACGCCUGUUCUCGUCCGAUCACCGAAGUUAAGUAACUUUCAGCCUGGUCAGUACCUAGAUGGGUAUUAACUUGGCAAUAGCCGGUGGUGUAUG